GAUGAACGCUGGCGGCGUGCCUAAUACAUGCAAGUCGAGCGAACAGACGAGGGGCUUGCUCCUCUGACGUUAGCGGCGGACGGGUGAGUAACACGUGGAUAACCUACCUAUAAGACUGGGAUAACUUCGGGAAACCGGAGCUAAUACCGGAUAAUAUAUUGAACCGCAUGGUUCAAUAGUGAAAGACGGUUUUGCUGUCACUUAUAGAUGGAUCCGCGCCGCAUUAGCUAGUUGGUAAGGUAACGGCUUACCAAGGCAACGAUGCAUAGCCGACCUGAGAGGGUGAUCGGCCACACUGGAACUGAGACACGGUCCAGACUCCUACGGGAGGCAGCAGUAGGGAAUCUUCCGCAAUGGGCGAAAGCCUGACGGAGCAACGCCGCGUGAGUGAUGAAGGUCUUCGGAUCGUAAAACUCUGUUAUUAGGGAAGAACAUAUGUGUAAGUAACUGUGCACAUCUUGACGGUACCUAAUCAGAAAGCCACGGCUAACUACGUG
rnacentral:rRNA from 1 species